AAAUAAUGAAGUAAAAAUUUACAUUUAGUUUCGACCUAAAAUUAAGGAUAAGUUAAUCCUCUUAUUUA
rnacentral:tRNA from 1 species